GGCGCGCUUGAGCAGGGCCAGGCGUGCGGUGUGCUCGACGGCGUCGAUCAGGUUCGACUCGGUCGACCAGCGGUUCGACACCGCGGUGCGCAGC
rnacentral:tRNA from 2 species